CGAAAGCCUGACGCAGCGACGCCGCGUGCGGGAAGAAGGCCUUCGGGUUGUAAACCGCUUUCAGGAGGGACGAAGCCACUCGGGUUAAUAGCCCAGAGGGUGACGGUACCUCCAGAAGAAGCCCCGGCUAACUACGUGCCAGCAGCCGCGGUAAUACGUAGGGGGCAAGCGUUGUCCGGAUUUAUUGGGCGUAAAGAGCGUGUAGGCGGCCAGAUAGGUCAGCUGUGAAAACUCGAGGCUCAACCUCGAGAUGUCGGCUGAAACCAUCUGGCUAGAGUCCGGAAGAGGAGAAUGGAAUUCCCGGUGUAGCGGUGAAAUGCGCAGAUAUCGGGAAGAACACCCGUGGCGAAGGCGGUUCUCUGGGACGGUACUGACGCUGAGACGCGAAAGCGUGGGGAGCGAACAGGAUUAGAUACCCUGGUAGUCCACGCCGUAAACGAUGGGAACUAGGUGUGGGCGGUGUCGACUCCGUCCGUGCCGAAGCUAACGCAUUAAGUUCCCCGCCUGGGGAGUACGGCCGCAAGGCUA
rnacentral:rRNA from 1 species